rnacentral:rRNA from 1 species
CCCUUAGAUGUUCUGGGCCGCACGCGUGCUACACUGAGUGGAUCAGCGGGUCAGGUUGCGCGAAAGCGUUUCCUAAUCUUUAAAUCCGCUCGUGAUGGGGAUUGACGGUUGCAAUUUUCUGUCAUGAACGAGGAAUACCUUGUAAGCGCGGGUCAUCAUCCCGCGCUGAAUACGUCCCUGCCCUUUGUACACACCGCCCGUCGCUCCUACCGAUUGAAUGGUCCGGUGAAAUCUUCGGAUUGAGACUUUGAUUUCUUCACGGAAAACGCUGUUUUAAAAAGUUGAUUAAACCUUACCAUUUAGAGGAAGGUGAAGUCGUAACA